rnacentral:rRNA from 1 species
AGUGAACGCUGGCGGUAGGCCUAACACAUGCAAGUCGAACGGCAGCACAGGAGAGCUUGCUCUCUAGGUGGCGAGUGGCGGACGGGUGAGGAAUACAUCGGAAUCUGCCCAGUCGUGGGGGAUAACGUAGGGAAACUUACGCUAAUACCGCAUACGACCUUCGGGUGAAAGAGGGGGAUCGCAAGACCUCUCGCGAUUGGAUGAGCCGAUGUCGGAUUAGCUAGUUAGCGGGGUAUGGCCCACCAAGGCGACGAUCCGUAGCUGGUCUGAGAGGAUGAUCAGCCACACUGGAACUGAGACACGGCCCAGACUCCUACGGGAGGCAGCAGUGGGGAAUAUUGGACAAUGGGCGCAAGCCUGAUCCAGCCAUACCGCGUGGGUGAAGAAGGCCUUCGGGUUGUAAAGCCCUUUUGUUGGGAAAGAAAUCUUUCAGGCUAAUACCCUGGGAGGAUGACGGUACCCAAAGAAUAAGCACCGGCUAACUUCGUG